rnacentral:tRNA from 1 species
GCGGUUGUGGUGGAACGGCAGACACGCCAUCUUGAGGGGGUGGUGAGCGAACGCUCGUGAGGGUUCAAGUCCCUCCAACCGCACCA